CACAGCUCAAAUUUGAAAUCUGGCCCUAGGCCCGAGUUGUAAUUUGCAGAGGAUGCUUUUGGCGCGGUGCCUUCCGAGUUCCCUGGAACGGGACGCCAUAGAGGGUGAGAGCCCCGUACGGUUGGACACCAAGCCUUUGUAAAGCUCCUUCGACGAGUCGAGUAGUUUGGGAAUGCUGCUCAAAAUGGGAGGUAUAUUUCUUCUAAAGCUAAAUAUUGGCCAGAGACCGAUAGCGCACAAGUAGAGUGAUCGAAAGAUGAAAAGCACUUUGAAAAGAGGGUUAAACAGCACGUGAAAUUGUUAAAAGGGAAGCGCUUGUGACCAGACUUGCGCCCGGUGAAUCACCCAGCUCUCGCGGCUGGGGCACUUUGCCGGCACAGGCCAGCAUCAGCUUGCCGUCGGGGACAAAAGCUUCAGGAACGUAGCUCUCUUCGGGGAGUGUUAUAGCCUGUUGCAUAAUACCCUUCGGCGGGCUGAGGUACGCGCUCCGCAAGGAUGCUGGCGUAAUGGUCAUCAGCGACCCGUC
rnacentral:rRNA from 1 species